GAAAGACCAUUCUCCUGUAACGUCGUUCGUGAGUAAAGAAGUUCCUUGGUAUCUGGAAGAUGCAACUGGUUGUGUGGAUGUGGUUGGAGCUCAGCAGGCCAUAGAUUUUAUGUUACCUUUUCAAAAGGAAAUAUUUAAACAAUCAAAACCAUGGAUGAUACAUAGAAUAUUCAAUUAUUUCCGAGGUCUCAAGGAGCUUGGUUUUAAGAGAAUUGAACGAACACUUCCAAUCAACACUUCCUUGACAGUUAUUGG